rnacentral:lncRNA from 1 species
AAGGGUUAUUAGUGCAGCUAGGAUUCAACCCGUCGACAUAUUUUCAGGCUUUUCAGAACUUUCAAUCCUUCGGUACGUAACACCUUGUUUUUCCAGUAAAAAAUUAAACAGUUAAAUGUACAAUUCAUCAAAGCUAUGGUUAUAGUCCACAUCCAUGCGAGGUUUGCGUUAUCCAAAGUAUUUUUUGUCUCUGGCGAGUUUCUUCUUAGUCCAAUGUAGACGAACGUUGGAAAGGAUUCCACCACAACACAAGCGACUACCAGCAAACAACUCGAUAUAUUUUUCAAAGAAAACGGUGUUUUUAUCUCGGGCGAUAAUCUUUUGUUUCUACGACUUUUCCUGACGACUAGAAACAGCUUGUAGUUGAUAAAUAACAUUGCAGGAAUGACGAGAGUACAAAGAAUUAGGAGAUGUACUUUUCUGGAAAUAACAAAGUUUAAGGACAUCACUUUCAAAAUUAUUUGGACGGUGAUCAGUAUUGCAAGAAGAGUUAAAAGUCUUCCCUUCGUUACCGAUGUUCGAUGAAAGAUAGGAUAAGAUGUCGCCAAAUAUCGAUCGAAAUUCAUCACGAAGAGAGCAAGAUAUGAAAAACCAAGGAAAAUACCUGGCGUUCUAAAGGAAUUAUGAGCCCAUCUAGCAUUUACAUCCACCUUUCCCGUCAGCCAUGAC